GCUAGGGAUAGAGCAUGGACAGAGAGACUGGCAGAACUGAAGAAACUCGAGGAAGAAAAGAAGGCAGCCACAGCUUGAUCAUCGUAGUCGAGAAGCAAAAUUUCAACCUGCUAAUUUUGAGUGAAUUUUCUAUCCCUUCUUUAAAAUAGGAAACAUUUUUUUAUGCUGUCAUGUAUUUCUUGAGGUUGAUAUUUAAAUUCCCUCUUCUUUUGUUUUGUUUAGUCUUUUUUCAAAAAAAAUAAUGAUUAGAUUUUGA
rnacentral:misc_RNA from 1 species